ACUACCACGGGGCCAUUAGGCGCGGCGCAAGCUGGACUACCUUGGGUAGGUCCCUGUGAAUGAAUGGAAAGUGCUAAAGGAAAUUGGACAGUAAUGAAUGAUUACCAGUUACAGUGUACAGUAGUUACUUACACAAUUAUGCUAUGUUUAUGCUUAUAGUAGUGGCCACGCUUCUAUUAUUCAGUUAAUUCAUUACUGUUGAGACUAUGAUCACAUGUUGUUUACAUGUUCAUUAUUUGUUAACAUUGGCUUAUUACCAGUUAGCAUUGCAUAAGUAUAUAUGUCAUGCAAUUACUGCUUUUGCUUUCAUUUAGUACAUCAUGAGCCCAGUGGUGUAAUUCGCCGAGGCUGGCGGCUUACCCACUGGGAACUAUUGUUUAUAGUUCUCACGCCCUUUUGGUGGUUGUUUUUACAGAGCCUGUUACAGGAGAGGCUAGGGAUCGUGGCAAGGGAGUCGCGCCUAGCUAGGGACUACUAGGAGCGUGCUAGUCGAUCACCUUGCUACUCGGGCUACGGCCGAGGGUGAUGUCCCUAUGUAUAGAGAGACCACCGUUGUACCUAUUCCUUUUGUAUACCCUACGAUGUAUAUGUAUUGUUGGGAUCAGACUCUAUAGUUGUGAUACUUUCUCCUUUUUGUUGAGAUUUUGGAUUGUAUACUCUUUGUUCCUUUACUGAUAGUAUAUCGACUUAUACUUUGCUCUGAUAUCAGGAUAGAAUUUUACUUUACUUUCCUCCUAUCGACUUGUGUUCUUGUAGACGCCUUAUAUACUGC
rnacentral:lncRNA from 1 species